rnacentral:lncRNA from 1 species
UGCCCAUGUUCUGCAAUCUGUCAACUGUAGGAAGUCUAUGUUGAGCAGCUAGCCAUACAGUGAACUUAUGUCGAGGUUGGAUAUUAGUGAUCAGCAUCAAGUUCUUCCAUUCAACCCUAUUGAAACUGGGGAGCAUUGUGAGGUAUAGUUUCUGAAUAUGAAAUUUGUCCAGUCUACAUAUACUUUGCAAUGUGCCAAAUAGAUCUCCUUGAAGCUU